GAUGAACGCUGGCGGCGUGCCUAAUACAUGCAAGUCGAGCGAACAGACGAGGAGCUUGCUCCUCUGACGUUAGCGGCGGACGGGUAAGUAACACGUGGAUAACCUACCUAUAAGACUGGGAUAACUUCGGGAAACCGGAGCUAAUACCGGAUAAUAUAUUGAACCGCAUGGUUCAAUAGUGAAAGACGGUUUUGCUGUCACUUAUAGAUGGAUCCGCGCCGCAUUAGCUAGUUGGUAAGGUAACGGCUUACCAAGGCAACGAUGCGUAGCCGACCUGAGAGGGUGAUCGGCCACACUGGAACUGAGACACGGUCCAGAUUCCUACGGGAGGCAGCAGUAGGGAAUCUUCCGCAAUGGGCGAAAGCCUGACGGAGCAACGCCGCGUGAGUGAUGAAGGUCUUCGGAUCGUAAAACUCUGUUAUUAGGGAAGAACAAAUGUGUAAGUAACUAUGCACGUCUUGACGGUACCUAAUCAGAAAGCCACGGCUAACUACGUG
rnacentral:rRNA from 1 species